rnacentral:rRNA from 2 species
UGGCCCCAAGUCAGGCGAG